GCUGAGUUCUGUCAUGUCCUGGCACGGACUGCCCAGAGAAGCAGUGCGUGCCCCUUCCCCGGACGAGCUCAACGAUAACGAUGGGUGGGGCUCUGGGCAGCCUGAGCUGCUGGGUGGCAGCCCUGCGCACGGCAGGGGUUGGGCCUAAGUGGGAUUUGAGGUUCCUCCCAACCCAAACCAUUCUACGGCUUUCUGGUUCUAUGAAAUCCCUCGCUCCGAAAAGGAUCUCCUAGGGUGCCUAGUUUUUAAGUGCAGGUAGCACGGCCUCAGCUGGAUCUGCCCUCAUCUCCUAGGAUAUGAGGCCAUCUAGUGACCUGCUGCCUUAGCACACUUAAAAUGUGCUCUCCGAGACGUGAAAGCAUCUUACAAAGCAGGACCUUUCCGUGAACGUGGCCUCACGUAACGAGUGUCCGAAGAAGAUAGCCCUAGAGGCCCAGCGCAGCCAGUGUCUGCCAUCACGGGAUGGGGCAUGGCAUCCGCCCCGCGCCUCGAGCUCCAAGAAGGAAAACGCUGAGAGCACUCAUAAUACCCCAAGUGUACAUUAAACGUGAGAUCGAGAGGUCCCUGUGCCCUCUGGGUGCUCACCAAUAUGCUAGCGACGAAGAGCUGAGUAAUACAGAGGAGGAAGCAUUAUCGACGUCAGCGCAAGGUGCCUGGCUGUGGUGUGAUAAUGGCUUUAUCAUGCAACACGCUACCUAGAGUGACAUCAAAAGGCUCUGAUAGCAGUGAUGGCUGCCAGUCCUCUCACAAAGUCAGGGUUAACCAUUUAAACUCUCAAGAAGUGCUUGUGCUGAUGACUUCAGGAAGGCAUCAAAGCCUUCCCACCUUGAGAAAGAAAAUCUUUCAUUGCCAAAGGCUUUUUGCUUUAGUUUAGGUAGGGACACCUUGAGAACUGCUACUGAUGAAGCGCAUGAUGUAAGCUGCAGCCAACUAACAUAGCUAUGCUGGGAUUUGCUCUGAGGACAAGGACGGCUUUGAUCACAACAUAACAUGGAUCUGGUCUCAGCAGUGUACUGUGACGAUCAGCUGGCAUGAGUGAAACCUCACUAUGGAGGAGAAUUAAACAGAAACCAGCUCAGCCUGGUGGGAAUAUCCUCCUAUCAAUGGAACCACAUCCUGUACAAACAGGCAGUGCUCUAGCUUGCUCCAAAAAUAAACCCUGAUGCUGUAGUACAUUUUGUUGUCUGAUUUUUGAGGACGAUGCUAACACACUGGUACCAGGGGUAAGGUAAGCAAAUAAAGUUUUCAAGGAUCUGCAUCAGUUCACUGGAGGCAGUGAAGUGCAUUGAUUCUGCAUUUCCCCAGAGCCAAAGAACUGCACAGAAUGUUUUAGUCUCCUGUGACUCUCAGAGCCUGGCAUCAGCUGAACUCCUCCUUUCACCUUCUGUGUGGUGGUCUGACAAACAUUAAGGCUCUUGUGAGGAUCUGGGGACAGAAGAAUUGAUGGAGACCUGAGGCAGAUGCAAGACGUGAUGCUUACUGGAGAGCUCCAGGGGAAACUUCUCAUACAGUAUAUCUCCUCUUCUGGGUAACGUUUGCUAUUAAGAGGGCUGUUCCAAAAAUAAUGCCUCCUGUAUUAUUAUACUGGCAGAUGUUGGUGAUAUAGCAGUAGAGGUUAAACCUUCCCACCAGUAGUCCAUUACAUGUUGUUGCCGUAUGACAGAUGGCAGCAGAGGGGCAGUCUGACAAAAUGGCAUCCGACUUGGAAGUAGGUAUAAAGCAAAAGUGUGCCACUGAGUUCCUCCAGGAGGAAAAAAUGGCACCCAGUGACAUUCGUUGACACUUGUUGAACAUUUAUGGAGACCAAACUGUGAAUGUGAGCAAAAUGAAGCAGUGGAUGGCGCGUUUCAAUAACGAUGCCAUCAUUGCUGAUGUAAAGCAGUGGGUCACCUCCACUGUUGCAGAUUAUAGCUGAGAAUUUGCUCUAUCGGUGUUGUUGUGCUUUUUGUAUCUGUUGUCAUUUCCAUAGAAAUAAAUAGGAUGCACUACUUUUGGAGCAACCUACGUACAUUUUUGGGGCAUUUCAGGUUCCUCGAGAAAUUUAAUUGUAAGUCAGGGUCCUGCUCUAUCAGGGCAGCUUUGCUCUUUCUAUUUUGCACUUGUAUCCAAAGGACAUGGAAAAAAGUUAUGCCACUGCAGGGGUGCCCAGAGGAGUGGAAACGCAGCUCCCUGCAACCCCAGCUGGCUCACUCAUCAAAGCUUAAGUUCAACAUCACCAAGCACAGAAGAGCUACUAUUUAUGCACAUGGAGGUACAGAAUGGUGACGAGGGAAUUGGAGAAAGUCCCGGUAUUUGGGCUUGUCAUCAAUGUCCAGUGAUACCUACAAAGUGUUAGUUUCACUGGCUUUCCCGUCCAUGCUUAACCAUGCAGGUGUACCCUCCAAAAUGUGUUUGGCAACUCUAUUCUUAAAAUAAAGUCAACCCUGCCAUUUUUGGUCUGGCAGGUUUCAAAUGCAUGCCUGACCAUGGGGUUUGCUUACAGAACAGCUUGAACUGGGGAUAUUAUAUCUGCGUGCUUCAGGCCUCUCUGGGCUGGCUGGGUACAUCAGCAGUGCACAGCGGUUUCUAUCCUGGCAGCAGAUGAUGUGAUACAGCGUGCUCCUCACAGCACACUCAGCCAGAGGACCCCCAGCGUGGCACUAGGUGACCUUGCAGCUCUGUUUCUAUCUGCUGAGGGGUCAGGUCCCCCGCGAUCAGCUGCACCCAGCCUCAGUGGAUGCGGCAGCAGUGCUGUGAGCAUGCAGCACAGCCUCUGUGUGUGGCUGCAAAGACUGCAGCUCCCGGGAAAAACUCCUGGGAUUGCCCCUAAGAGUGGUGUUUUGGCUUGGAGGGAGGCACUGAGCCCAUUGCCACAUCAGAGGGUGUUAAAUGCUCCCACCCCCAAAGGAUGUGCCUGACAGGAACCGCUGGAGUUGCUCAGCAUGGAUCCGGGUUUAAAUAAGUUGUGGCUGUUGGUUUGCAAGGAAGUCACUAAGAAACAUGAUCCUCAAGGAGAAGCAAGCUGCUUUGAUCUCUGUUCUGUUGUGAGAUGUGAGCUCAGAGCAGAACUCCAGUACUUCUAAGCAAAAGCAUGAGUGCAGGAAAGCUGUCAUCAGUAGUAAGAAUCCUAAGCAGCAAAGUACUUCAAGGCAAAAUUUUGUUAUCUGGCAUGGGGGAUGAGUGGCAGAGAGAUAUGACUGAACCUAUGAAUAUAAAUGUUUAGACGUCUGCUAAAAAACACAUGCUGCAAUAGGGAAAACGAAGCAGACCCUUUAGUGCUUUUAAUUUGCAAGAAGUGCUUUUAGAUUUGUAACACCACUGUGACGAUCUCAGCAUGCAUUAUAACAGCACGAAGCAAAGCAGCAGUCCUUGCUAAACAGGGAAAUAAUUCACAAUGCAUAUUCAUUUCAGGAAAUACUUCUCAUCUGUCCUUGGUCUCGUGUUGUAUAUUGGCUAUGGAUUUGGUGCAUUUGGAUUUCUCUAGCACGCCCUUGGGCUUUCAAGUGUGCGAGGAUGCAUUGUAAUGUAGAUGUGGGGUGUCUGGCACUUCUUAGUGAAUAGAGCUUCAAAGGGAAGUUAGGAAAUUGAAAUCAGGGAAGUUGAAAUCAGACUCUAAUUACAUUUGUACAGGGGCCAAAGGCAUUUUGACAAAGAGCCUAUGUGCUGUUCACGAACAGAUUUCGUGCAGAAUGCAUGAAAACAUAGCCUCGGUUCGCACUCCCACUGGUAUCGGCAGACAUGGGACUGGCCUGAUUUCUAUGAAACAAAGAUAAAGGAAAAUUGUGUUGGUGAGGUGUAUGUGACAGCCUGAGCGCUUCAGCUCUGGAAGCCUUCCCGCAUUCCCAGUGCAAGGGAUGGUCUAACUGGGAGCACCGACCACUGGCACAGCCGUGCCUCAGCCAUCGCAGCCAGCAUCGCUGCAGACAUGCGGCCAAGCAGCUAUCCAGCUUCUCCUGCCUUUCCCCUUGCCGCAACGUGUACCUCCUUUAUUUCCUCGGAUCUCUCCCAAGCAAACACACAGCAAGCUGCUGGAUGCUGGAGCACUGCUAGCAGAGGGAUAAGAGUUUAGAGGCAGGUGCACCUGCCCAUGGUGCGACGCCAGCGGGGCCGCCUGCCAAACAAUAGGGCUUUGUCCUGGCAGAUGUCGGGGCAGCGGAGCAGCGGCGUUGGCUCCAUCCUCCUGAGCGCAGCUGAGGAGCGCGCUGACCUGAUUCCAGGAGGCUGGCGCUACGGCGAGGCUGUGGGGGAUUUGGCCAAGGUCAUGCAGCGAGGGAGGGAUGCUGUCAGAGAUGGAUGGAAAUCGGCGUGGUGCUUUAGCUUGAUGCUCGCAGCACAACACCUCCAUUAACGCGUGACAAGCCGGUGAUUUAUCCAAGCGGCGUACUUUGCUGAUUAGGCUUUAUCUCAGCCUGUGCGUCUUCUGUGAGCAGAGAGCAGAGGGCAAACCUCACAGAGCAGAAUACAGGCUCUCACCUCUGGGUCUUGGCACUGAAUCAUCUGAAAUGUAAUGGCUGCGUAUGAUCCUGCUCCUUGCCUGAUGAGGAUGACAGCCCACCUAGUCAGUCUCUUGGUAGAGGAGGUGCGUUUUGCACACUCAGUGUAAAAUGAAAGGCAGAAGUGAGGCAAAGUGGCAGGCAGGAGCCCUGGGCUUUCAUCAUUCUGACCCAGAACAUGGAUCUGUUUGCUGAGGGUGAACUGGGUGCUCUGGCCAAGAGAGUGGACAAGACUGUAGUUUUUUGGGAACA